CCUCUAGGCUCCCUCCAAAAGAAGACACAGGGAGGUGGUCCAGGCUUUGGCAGGCGUUACCAUGGUUACGGGCUACAAGCUGCAGCAGCGGGUCCUCUCUGGGCGCCAGAUGGAGAAACUGAGGCACACGGGAGUUACGCGGCUCGCCCUGCAUCAGCUACGUGGUAAACUGUGGAGUCGGGAACUGGACAAGGCUGUCUGUUUCCAGAAAUUAGGUUAUCAACCCCUUCCUGUGCUACCUGAAUGAAUCUCAAGCCUUUUGUCACUCCUUGCUAGUUUCAAAGACUUUAAAAGAAAGAUUCUAAUUGGGUCAUGUGCCCAAGGUCCCCUUGCGCUAAACAUUUCAGUACUAGUUGGUCACCUGAAAGGAAAUUAGAUUGCAUAAAAGGUUGGGAACGCUCUGGCUGGUGAGGCUCAGUUGGUUGGAGCAUUGUCCCAUGCACCGAAAGGUUAUGGGUUCGAUUCCUGGUCAGGGCACAUACCUCCGUUGCAGGUUUGAUCUCCUGGUAGGGGCAUGUACCAGAAGCAACUGAUCAAUGUUUCUCUCUCAUAUCGUGUUUCUCUCUUCCCCCCACCCCCUGCUUCCUCUCUGUCUAAAAUCAAUAAAUGUCCCUUUGGCUUUGGGCUGAGAGGAGGUGUAGAUGCAACUUUCUUCUGUCGUCCGGAAUCUGGGUUCAUCCGACACCAGCCGCCUCCACCAUGCCGCUGAAGUUCGACCCCAACGAGAUCAAGUCCUGUACCUGAGGUGCAUCCAUGGGAAGUCAGUGCCUUGUCUGCCCUGGCCCCCAAGAUCACCCCCCUGGGCCUGUCUCCAAAAAAGGGGAAAAUAGAACAUGUAAAUGAGCUUCCUGGUGCCAGAUCUGGCGAUGGGAGUGGAGGAGACCCGGGAGCACAGAGGUACCUCAAACGCUGUCCGCACCCCAUCUCCUGGGCUGCCCAGAUCUGGUGGCAGGCACAGACAGAGGGAAACAAGCCACGAGAGCAGAACCUCCUGGAGCCCCUGAGACUUAAAACUUGCCUUAUCCAACUGUCCUAAGUUACAGCAGGGAGGUCCACCCGGAGAGAGUGGCUCACACGGUGUCCUACUGCCCAGCCAGGACAACGACCUGUCACACUUCGUCUGCUCCUAAAAUUGCUUCAUGGUAGAGGAGCCCAAUAUAUAGGGGCCUU